rnacentral:rRNA from 1 species
AUUGAACGCUGGCGGCAUGCCUUACACAUGCAAGUCGAACGGCAGCACGGGAGCAAUCCUGGUGGCGAGUGGCGAACGGGUGAGUAAAGUAUCGGAACGUGCCCAGUCGUGGGGGAUAACGUAGCGAAAGUUACGCUAAUACCGCAUACGAUCUAUGGAUGAAAGCGGGGGAUCGCAAGACCUCGCGCGAUUGGAGCGGCCGAUAGCAGAUUAGGUAGUUGGUGGGGUAAAGGCUCACCAAGCAGACAAUCUGUAGCUGGUCUGAGAGGACGACCAGCCACACUGGGACUGAGACACGGCCCAGACUCCUACGGGAGGCAGCAGUGGGGAAUUUUGGACAAUGGGCGAAAGCCUGAUCCAGCCAUGCCGCGUGCAGGAUGAAGGCCUUCGGGUUGUAAACUGCUUUUGUACGGAACGAAAAGGUUUGGGCUAAUAAGCUGAGCUCAUGACGGUACCGUAAGAAUAAGCACCGGCUAACUACGUGCCAGCAGCCGCAGUAA